UACGAAGGGGGCUAGCGUUGCUCGGAAUCACUGGGCGUAAAGGGUGCGUAGGCGGGUCUUUAAGUCAGGGGUGAAAUCCUGGAGCUCAACUCCAGAACUGCCUUUGAUACUGAAGAUCUUGAGUUCGGGAGAGGUGAGUGGAACUGCGAGUGUAGAGGUGAAAUUCGUAGAUAUCUGGAGGAACACCGGUGGCGAAGGCGGCAUCCUGGACCGGUAUUGACGCUGAGGCGCGAAAGCUAGGGGAGCAAACGGGG
rnacentral:rRNA from 1 species